GAAGAGCGUUUUUGUGGCUCGUCCUGUGUAAACUUGUUAAUUUUCUCCUUUCAAGAUGCCGACGUCUCGGGAGAGAAUGUGCCGCUCGGAAAUGCAGGACAGAUGCCAGGGAAGUCCAGAACACAUUGACAUGUCUGCGUUGUUUGCAACAUGACUUUGUGACUUCAAGGCAUCUGAACAGAAUCUCCACUUCGAGUUCCAUUCCGGAAUAGGAAUGCGUGUGCUGGAUACCUGAUUCCAGACCAUGACACUGAUGUGCUUUCUGAAAAUUCAGGGUUUGCGCUCUGUGGUCAGUGGAAUUGCAACAUGGACUCAAACACACUGUGGACUGUCCUGAAACAAGAUGGCUGGUGUUCUGGGCUGCUCUAAGCUAUGCAUGUUUCCUCUGUAUGUGGCUGGGCAGGGAGCCGUGAUGGCAGCUAGACAGUACCAUCAAUGCAGUUGAAGCAGGAUGGAGUCUGAAGGACCUGACGGUGGUACCAGACUGGUCACUAGGAGACACUUGUUACUGCACUACCUCAAGGUCCUAACUGUUGUACUAGACUGGCCACUAGAAGGAAACUCUUUGCUGUGAAAUGAAGUCAAAGUUGACGUCCUAGUGAGUGCAGUCUUCAGGAAGUGUUCUGCCCCCCCCACCUGGUUGAGGUCCUAGUGUCUGCAGUCUAUGGAAAGCUCGUUGGCUGUUGAAGUGUUGCUGUCCUGGUGGAGUGGGAAGUGCUCGUGUUGUCCACCGGCUCGCACUCCUGUUUGGGCAGCAAGGAAGUGGGACAGUCUCGUUGGAACUGGGAAAACCAGGCCAAGUCAAUUCAACCCCUGACUAUGUGUUUUGCUGAAUAAAUAAAUCUACAAAUGUGA